GUGAAUAUAUAUAUAUAUAAACAUAUGAUCUGAUUUUUAGGUUUUGUCUCUUUCCUUUUUCUUUGAGACGCCGACACAAGACAAUCGGAAAAUCGAAAUCAACGGCGUCAGUUCUACACGACUUCAUGCUUCUGUCUAUCGGCUUGCGGCUUCACUUCUUCGUCUUCACAAACUCUCUACAAAUCGAACGACGACCGAAGUCUGAAAUCGGGACCAUCAUGCCUCUCUCUAGCAAUCGAACGACGGGAACCUGUAAUCGACCAUUGCCUUCACCCCCUGUUCCGUUUCGCCUGCUCCGUCCGCCUGCUGUCGUCUGACUGCCGACGACCUGAUUUCAGAUCCACAGCUCCACCUCCGGUUCGGGAGUUGGAACAACGUCAUGCCGAAACUGAAAGAAAAAUGGCGGAAAUUGUUGAAUUUAUGAGACGACAUGACUGUAAUAACCCUCCCGACAAUCUACAUGACGCUCCUUAGGUUAUUUGUUGUAAACGUUUGUAUGUUUUUAGACAUUUAUAUUAUGUUUGUGGUUUAGAUGGAUGUUAAAAUUUGUAACCGAAUGCUUAUGUAUUACUUUUAUUUUUAUUGUGUUUGUGUAAGAAUUUGUAACAAAAUUUUGUUAUUUUUAUUAGAUUUUUUUUUGCAAUUUAAGCAGAAAAAAUUGGUUUUUUU